rnacentral:rRNA from 1 species
CGUAGGUAACCUGCCUGGUAGCGGGGGGUAACUAUUGGAAACGAUAGCUAAUACCGCAUAAGAGUAGAUGUUGCAUGACAUUUGCUUAAAAGGUGCAAUUGCAUUACUACCAGAUGGACCUGCGUUGCAUUAGCUAGUUGGUGGGGUAACGGCUCACCAAGGCGACGAUACAUAGCCGACCUGAGAGGGUGAUCGGCCACACUGGGACUGAGACACGGCCCAG